UCCUACGGGAGGCAGCAGUGGGGAAUAUUGGACAAUGGGCGAAAGCCUGAUCCAGCCAUGCCGCGUGUGUGAAGAAGGCUUUCGGGUUGUAAAGCACUUUCAGUGGGGAAGAAGGCUUGUCGGCCAAUACCCGGCAAGAGCGACAUCACCCACAGAAGAAGCACCGGCUAACUCCGUGCCAGCAGCCGCGGUAAUACGGAGGGUGCAAGCGUUAAUCGGAAUUACUGGGCGUAAAGCGCGCGUAGGCGGCUUGUCACGCCGGGUGUGAAAGCCCCGGGCUCAACCUGGGAACGGCAUCCGGAACGGGCAGGCUAGAGUGCAGGAGAGGAAGGUAGAAUUCCCGGUGUAGCGGUGAAAUGCGUAGAGAUCGGGAGGAAUACCAGUGGCGAAGGCGGCCUUCUGGACUGACACUGACGCUGAGGUGCGAAAGCGUGGGUAGCAAAUAGGAUUAGAUACCCUGGUAGUCCACGCCGUAAACGAUGUCGACUAGCCGUUGGGUCCCUUGAGGACUUAGUGGCGCAGUUAACGCGAUAAGUCGACCGCCUGGGGAGUACGGCCGCAAGGUUAAAACUCAAAUGAAUUGACGG
rnacentral:rRNA from 1 species